rnacentral:lncRNA from 1 species
UAACAGAAUUUGAAUUUCGAACAAAUAACUAACACGAUUUCAGAACAGAAAUCAUCUUCUAGCCCGGAUUAAAACUUGUCCACUUUCAUAUCUUUAAACACAGGAAUUCUUAAUGAUUUCAUGCCAAACACGUCAAAAUAUUCACUUGAAAGCUUAGACAGGAGCCUUACGAACCAUGAUUGAGCACAAUUCCAAAAUCAUAAUUCGAGUAUUAUACAAACUUAUAUCUUUAAGCCUAUGAACCCGAAUGUUACUUGGGAAUAAGGUAUUGGGGCUAACAUUAGUUGUAACUUAGAAAAACAAUGACUACCAAAUCAACUAACAUAUAUAAUGCUAACAAAAAGAAAUUAAGAUCUAAAAGGGAAAUCCAAUUUUAUUUAAACACAUUGAAUCCUCCGCUUCAUUUUGCACAUUUCAAAGCUCAAAACAUACCCGAAACAACAGAGAAAAUCAAAUGAAAAAUUCAGCAAAGAAGUUUGAGUGUCAGCAGCUCUAAAAACAACAGCAAGCAAACAUUUAUCAACCAGCUAACACCAUAUCUUGAACCCAAAAUAAGAAUCAACCAGUUACUUCAAAUUUUUUUAAAAUCCAAAAGAAAUCACAGAACAACUUCAAUAUAACAGUUCUUGGAUAACAUACUUAAGAAAUAAGGAAGCAUGACCUUUUAUAGAAACCUUUAGGGCAGCAGAAAUGAUUCAAUCUUUUGCUAGUUACCCCCUCUUUGAAUUUUUGUUCUUGCAUUUUGGACCUUAAGUUUAUGUUUUGUUUGUUAAAAUUACCCCCCUCCCCACUUCCUAGAAGCUUUUUAGGCAGUUAUAAAAGAUUUUCCUUAUCCAGACUCCCUAAAUUACCAUUUAAUUUUACUAAUUACUUUCAGCAAACCAAACCUUCAACCAAAUUUCCUAAAGGUCUUUCGGUUACUAAACUACCAGGUUAUAACGACCUUUGUGCUCCUGAACCAUUGAAACCCAAAUUAUGAUCCAAAAGACCACAUACCACAAAUAUAUAAGCUCAAAAAAAAUUCUACAAUUCCGAGCAUCAAGAGAAAAAUCUAACAAAGCAAAAAAAAGAAAAAAAAAAGUGGGACAACAGGCAAACAUGAAAUCAGAAGUACUGAAGAAAAAAGGUUAAUUAAACUAAUAUGUUGAUAAUCACUAAUAUAACCUAAACCUAAACAUGCAAUAGAGAUCAAAUCAAACUAACAAAGAAAGAAAAGGAAAUAAGAAGAAACAGACAUUAUGCGACCCAAAAUGCAUACAAAAAUGAACAGAAAAGAUAAGAGAUAAAUGGAAAGAAAAUAGAAGAAGAUGAGCAUGACAAUAAACAAAAACAAAAUUGAGGGAAAGCACUGAAAUACCUAGAAUAAACAAAUGGAAAAUGGCUUGAAUGGACUUCAUGUGCUUUUUGAUUUGUGGCAAAAAGAAGUGUUAGUCGAUUUGUUCUUGUGAUAACAAACAUCUAGCACUCAUUUUUGCCAAAAUCAUCUUCGAAGGUUAGAGAACAAUGAAAUCGGACCCUUUUAAUAAGGAAUCGGAGGCAGGAACGGGUCUAGGGUUCCAUUUAAGAUAUGAAAUUAGAGAACGAUGAAAGAGAUUUCGGGGAAAUUGAUAGUGAUUUAGUGUUUGAGGGAUUAUGGGGAGUGUGUGCUGAAUUUUUAGGAGGAUUUGGAGGUCGCCGCCGGCAGGAGAUGUUGAAGAAUUCAGAGGCGGCGUGUUAGGGUUUUGGUCUGAGACGAGAGAGGCAUAAGGAGAUAAGUUUUGUACUAGGUUUCUGAAGGUAUUUCGAAAAUUUUUAUUUAAGAUGGGGGGAGGGGAAUCUCUCGG